AAUGUUGGGUUAAGUCCGCAACGAGCGCAACCCUUAUCCUUGUUUGCCAGCACGUAAUGGUNGGAACUCCAGGGAGACUGCCGGUGAUAAACCGGAGGAAGGUGGGGACGACGUCAAGUCAUCAUGGCCCUUACGAGUAGGGCUACACACGUGCUACAAUGGCGCAUACAGAGGGCAGCAAGCUAGCGAUAGUGAGCGAAUCCCAAAAAGUGCGUCGUAGUCCGGAUUGGAGUCUGCAACUCGACUCCAUGAAGUCGGAAUCGCUAGUAAUCGUGAAUCAGAAUG
rnacentral:rRNA from 1 species